UAGCCAGGGACAGUCACUAGAUGUCUUUUUUGUUUUUGUACAGUUGAUAUCAUGGGGGUAUGAAAGACCUCCAGAGCCCAGCAAUAGCUACUCCAGUAUCUCACUUCUCUGCGAUUUGGAAGUGGUAUAAAAACCCCCGGUUUUCCAUACGCUCAAGUGCAAGGAAAUGAAAAGAACUGCUGGUUAUGACAGCUCUUGUGACCUGGUGAUAAAUUAGCACGCAUCCGUCACUCCUGAAUGUUUCCAUAAAGUCUUGAGCACCAAAGUAACACGUAGCUGUCAGGCCCACCAACAAUCCUCCCUUCUCCGAUUGCCUGAUUCUGGAUGAUUCUCAACUCUGACUCACUCAGGAAGCCUUCCGAGAUAAAGCCGACUGGGAGUUCUCACCUCCCACAAACUUCAGUUACUAUUUAUUAUUUCUGUAUUAUUCCUCUUUCUUCCUGUACCUUUGGGUCUACCUAAUAAGAAAAAGCUAUAUCGAGAUUAAAAUUUGCCGGAGCACCCUAAAAGUAAAACUGUGAAUCCAAAUGAUGGUUGUAAGUAGAUAAACAUCUAUGUGUAAGGUAGUGUAUGGAAUGGGAAAAGUAUAAAACAAUACACACUA